AUCACGCACAGCCUUUGCAACAGAUUACUACAGGCUAAUUCCCUACAGAGAACAGUCAGUUACCUUUUGCUUCCACAGGGCAUUGCCAGCUACCAACCAAGGAAAGAUGAGCUACUCCACUGGAUUGUUAAAGAGCCCCACCAUGGACCAUAAUUACUAAGGGGAUGCAUAAACUCAGUUCUGCUUUCUGCUUCCGUAUCCAUGAAGCCCAUCGAGUAAGUGGAGUUUGCCAUUAGCAGGGUCUCUAAGUACCCUUUUGGAUUGACUUCUUCCUCUUUGUGACUUGCCAGGAAGUGGUAAGAUCCUUUCAAUCGGAUGUUUUGGGACAGGUUAGGAAGAGUCAGAAGCUGGUCUUAGGCCCAAGCCUGAGGAGGGUGCACUGAUCCAGCUUAUCCAAAGUACUGCUUUAGGUUUUGGCUACAUGUAUAGUAAUCAGUUAAGUGUACUUGCUACAAUUAUGACCAAUUAGCCUUUGAGUGUGCAGCUCCAAUGGUGAGAAGGACCUGCUGGCAGGUCAAGAUUUAAUCAUUCUUGGAUCCCCUGGACAUACUGCCACCAAAUUACUGUCAAGAACCCCAUUCUUCAACGUAACAGGAAUUAUUAAAAAAUAAUUUGCUCCAUGAAUUACUACUUUUGUUUUAGGCUUUUCAUGUAAACAACACCACAGUAACCUUCAGCAUGAUUACUCAAAAGAAUUGUAAAACAAAAUUCGCCUAUAUAUCCAAUCUUUUUACAUUUGUAAAGAAUUUA